CGUAAAUAUUAACUCACACCUACCAACGCCCGGGUACUACGAGCCCCAGCUUAAAACCCAAAGGACUUGACGGUGUCCCACCCGCCUAGAGGAGCCUGUUCUAUAAUCGAUGAUCCCCGCUAAACCCAACCCCCCCUUGCCAAUCAGCCUGUAUACCUCCGUCGUAAGCUUACCAUAUGAAUGCCCUAAGUAAGUCUAACGGCUACAAACACCAAUACGUCAGGUCAAGGUGCAGCUCAUGGGGCGGUAAGCAAUGGGCUACAAUUUCUAAUUUAGAAUAAACGAAACACUGUAUGAAACUCAGUUGUGAAGGCGGAUUUAGUAGUAAAAAGAAAGUAGCGUGUUCUUUUUAACUAGGCCCUGGGACGUGUACACACCGCCCGUCGCCCUCUUCAAUAGUUAUAUAUAACAGAUUUAUAAUCCCCUACCACGCCUUAGAAGAGGUAAGUCGUAACAUGGUAAGUGUACCGGAAGGUGUGCUUGGAAUAA
rnacentral:rRNA from 1 species